UGACAACGUGACUACCCUUUCAACAACC
rnacentral:sRNA from 1 species